AAGUUCUGCACAACAGGCUGCAAGCGUAUAAAACAGCAAAGCCGAAAUCUCCAUCGUGAAGGGACUAUGCGUGGCUCUGUUUCAACAUACCUGAGAUUACUCUGAAGGAACAAUGAAGGCACUGCAAUUGGUAUUGCUUUUCAGCAUUAUGACGAUUGUUAUGGGCUCCAUCUGGGACCACAAGAAGUGCCUUUCAUUUUGCCGACCCAGAAGUGACAACGCUACCAACUGCGGCACUGGUUGCAAGUGCCAUCCUUUCCGCUAUAUGCCGAUGAUUGGAGGCUGCCUUGACGUCACUCUUCCAGUUCCCUGGAUGUUUCGUCCGAUGCGAAGGAUCUUAGGAAAAUAGCUACACGGUUUAAAGAAAACAAAAAGGGUACAAUAAACAGCUAAUGCUAUUACAAUACCA